AGAGCGAACGCUGGCGGCAGGCCUAACACAUGCAAGUCGAACGGACUCUUCGGAGUUAGUGGCGGACGGGUGAGUAACACGUGGGAACGUGCCUUUAGGUUCGGAAUAGCUCCUGGAAACGGGUGGUAAUACCGAAUGUGCCCUUCGGGGGAAAGAUUUAUCGCCUUUAGAGCGGCCCGCGUCUGAUUAGCUUGUUGGUGAGGUAAUGGCUCACCAAGGCUACGAUCAGUAGCUGGUCUGAGAGGAUGACCAGCCACAUUGGGACUGAGACACGGCCCAAACUCCUACGGGAGGCAGCAGUGGGGAAUCUUGCGCAAUGGGCGAAAGCCUGACGCAGCCAUGCCGCGUGUAUGAUGAAGGUCUUAGGAUUAGUAAAAUACUUUCACCGGUGAAGAUAAUGACUGUAGCCGGAAGAAGAACGCCCCGGCUAACUUCGUGCCAGCAAGCCGAC
rnacentral:rRNA from 1 species